rnacentral:rRNA from 1 species
GUCUAUGGCCAUACUACCCUGAACACGCCCGAUCUUGUCUGAUCUUGGAAGCUAAGCAGGGUCGGGCCUGGUUAGUAGUUGGAUGGGAAGAGUAAGUAUUGUUGUCA